rnacentral:rRNA from 1 species
UACGUAGGGCGCAAGCGUUGUCCGGAAUUACUGGGCGUAAAGAGCUCGUAGGUGGUUUGUCGCGUUGUUCGUGAAAACUCACAGCUCAACUGUGGGCGUGCGGGCGAUACGGGCAGACUGGAGUACUGCAGGGGAGACUGGAAUUCCUGGUGUAGCGGUGGAAUGCGCAGAUAUCAGGCGGAACACCGGUGGCGAAGGCGGGUCUCUGGGCAGUAACUGACGCUGAGGAGCGAAAGCGUGGGGAGCGAACAGG